AGGCAGCACAGCGCUAGCGAGAGCUUCACCUCCGCCAUCCUGACAGCCUGGCGUGCGUGUCGUGGCGAUGCUGACUGGACAGGCGGCGUGAUUUGUUCUCCCGAGAGAUACAAGCUGAGAAGCUCUGGUGGUGACCCAUGCUCUAAGGCAUUCACCUGGCCACGUGCAGGAGCCUGGGAAGCUGCUCCCCAUCCACAGGCCCACAGGAACAUUGUCUCAAUUCCUCUCCUCUCAGCUCUGUGUGCACUCCAGCUCAUGAGGUACACACCGACCCUCUUGCCCAGCUCAUCUUUGCAUCUUGGAGCAUCUUCAGAAUCUGAGCCACAAAUGCUGAGAUAAGGCAGAACCUAUUUACUGUGAGCACACUAUCACCCAGCAUUUCAGUCCAGCGAGGGAUAAUUAGUAAAACUCCAAGACAAAGCCCACAGCAAACCUGAGCUUCCAUGUGUCAGCCUAACCUCAGGGCCAAGAAAAAGAAAAGCCUAAACUGGUUUCUUCCAUCCGAGAUGGCCACAGGUGAGAAGCAAACACACACGGUCAAUUACUGUGGCUCAGCCGAUGCGUGGUUAUGUGAGAUCACGUGGACUUGCAGGACCAGACAGUAUUAUCUUGACUAACACGGACACAUUUUGAACACUGCUUCUCACUCUGCUAUCAGCCACCGCCACCUCUGCAGUAAUGUGACAGCAAGAGAAAAAGGAUGGGAAGGCGAUAACGUUUGCCCACGCAAGUAGAAAAGAACUUUCUGUCCAAAACCAGCUGGCUUGGCUCGGAAAUGAAAUGGCAUUUCAGCGCGAGGUGACCUGUUUGCAUGUGUGUCGGAGCUCUGUCUCCAAACACUUGUCCUAGAUGCAACGGCGGGGUCUGUGAAGCAUUUUAUCAUCAAGUAACCAUGGGAAACAGGUGAGUUGUCUCAGUGCCAGUUUGUCUUUGAAACCGUUUGACAGAUCAGAAACCAUCCUCAGAGACUGCAACAAAUGUGCUGCCAUGUUUCAUGGUUAGAACUCAGCAUAUUUUUAGUAAAGGGCUGAGAAAGUAUGCGAUAAUCCUAAAUCACAGCCAAGAAAACCAUGAACCCCUUAACAAAUGCCUGUUCAGAUACAGAACUUGGAAAUACAUAACAGUUGAUCCACAUUGACACUCUGGUUCAAUUUUUAAGGCUUGUUUUCCAAACUAAAGCAUUUUUGCCUUUACCUGAGAGGGCCAGAGGGAGCAAGGAAGCUGAUGUCUGAUAUUUAUCCUGUGGGACACAGACCAAUCAUCCUAAAUGUACCCCCAAAGAAAUCAAUGGGAAACACACCAAUGACACAUCUGUACUGAGGAGUCUGGACGCCAUUAUCAAAGUUUCAAAAGGCACCUUGUA
rnacentral:lncRNA from 1 species